GCGACCCCAGGUCAGGCGGGACCACCCGCUGAGUUUAAGCAUAUCAAUAAGCGGAGGAAAAGA
rnacentral:rRNA from 4 species